UACGUAGGGGGCGAGCGUUGUCCGGAAUUAUUGGGCGUAAAGAGCUCGUAGGCGGUUUGUCGCGUCUGCUGUGAAAACCUAAGGCUCAACCUUGGGCUUGCAGUGGGGUACGGGCAGACUAGAGUGCGGUAGGGGGUGACUGGAAUUCCUGGUGUAGCGGUGGAAUGCGCAGAUAUCAGGAGGGAACACCCGAUGGCGAAAGGGCAGGUCACUGGGGCCG
rnacentral:rRNA from 1 species